GACGAACGCUGGCGGCGUGCUUAACACAUGCAAGUCGAACGGAAAGGCCCUGCUUUUGUGGGGUGCUCGAGUGGCGAACGGGUGAGUAACACGUGAGUAACCUGCCCUUGACUUUGGGAUAACUUCAGGAAACUGGGGCUAAUACCGGAUAGUAGCUCCUGCUGCAUGGUGGGGGUUGGAAAGUUUCGGCGGUUGGGGAUGGACUCGCGGCUUAUCAGCUUGUUGGUGGGGUAGUGGCUUACCAAGGCUUUGACGGGUAGCCGGCCUGAGGGGGUGACCGGGGACAUGGGGACUGAGAUACGGACCAGAGGCGUACGGGAGGCAGCAGUGGGGAAUAUUGCACAAUGGGCGGGAGCCUGAUGCAGCAACGCCGCGUGCGGGAUGAAGGCCUUCGGGUUGUAAACCGCUGUGGCCUGUGACGAAGCGGGAGUGACGGUAAUGGGUAAAGAAGCACCGGCUAACUACGUG
rnacentral:rRNA from 1 species